CGUUCUCUGCAGUGUUCGAGUAGUGGACUGGGUAACCCCUUGAACCUAAUUUACUUUACCCAGGGCGGGCGGUUGGCGGCGCAAGUGUGCAUGUCCAUUGGGCUGGUGAAUUGGAUCCGGCCCGGCGGGAAGCCUGAUGCGCUGCUCUGUCCCCCCACUUGAUCCUCACGGCUCAAGGGCAAAAGUCCGAGACGGCGCAGGCGGAGAGCGC
rnacentral:other from 1 species